AGGGUUGGAAGCGUUCCUUGUUAUUAGCUGAUCAGUUUACAAUGUCAUUCCAGCAAUUUGAAAAUUCUCCUUAUAAAAAAGUAAAUUUUAGACACUUCUGAGUUUGGCGCCACUAUAACAUGUUUUUUACUUAUAGGGCUCGUUUGGCGAUAAAAGAUAAAUUUUAAAUACAUUUGGUGUUUAGAAUAUCGGUGUUUUCAAGACCAUUCAUGUCUUUAGUAUAUUUGUAAAAAAAAGAAGUUUGUUUUAUUUAACGACGCCACUAGAGCACAUUGAUUUUUUAUCUUAUCGUCAGCUAUUGGACGUCAAACAUAUGGUCAUUCUGACACUGUUUUUUAGAGGAAACCCGCUGUCGCUACUCUUUAACGACAGGCAGCAAGGGAUCUUAUAGGCAGGAUAGCACAAAUCAUGGCCUUUGUUGAACCAGUUGCUACAAAGGCUCUGAAAGUCGAAGACAUCUUAGCAAGGCAGUAAACUCAUGACAGUUUCUUUGAAGUUAAUUUACAUAAUGGUUAAUUUACAGGGCAGCCAACAACGCUACAACCUGCUUGGCAGCCAUCGCGUCUACCGCAGAUACUGCUUGUGAUGGAACAACUGUGAAGGGAACGUACCUGAGUGAAACCAUCACUCCCAUAGUGACAGAAGCGUGUAGCAGUGGAACCGUGGUGCUGCUCAGUGUCUGGGUCGCUGCUGCAUGUGUUCUCUCAGGAAUGAUUCAACAGUGAUAACCAGUGACACCACACGCUGUCACUCAUUCAGUGUUAUUUUGUUCUUCACUAACCAGACAUUAUAUAAACUCUGCUGAACAUUUCUAUAAACAAUAUAUAAGAAAACAACGAUCCACUGUUUAUGAUUAAAGUAAUGCAAACAUUAUAACGAACGAUUUACGUGGUGUUAAAAUAGAUCACUAAAGAGAAAUAGUUUGCAGGAUAAAUUUGUUUAUAAAUAGAGUUCACACUCUGUAAACGUGUAUUUCCAUUAGUAGGAAUUCUGAGUCCGACAUUUAUUUGUUCAUGACACCACACACUCUCAUCGGAUUUGAACAUGUAUGCUGCCCAUUACUGUUAAAAUAGUAUGAUAACUUGACUGGAAGACUUUGAUUAAAACACAGUUAUUAGUAACAAUUAUGUAUGUUUUUGCCGUAUGCAACUGCUGCAAAUCCACAAAGGUUUUAUCGCGCAAAUUCCUAAAUAGUAGUCUGAGACUAGUUUUUAGUGAAAUGUAAUUAUCUCCCAUCUUAUUAUUGUAUAUUAUUAUUACAAAUAUUUUAAAUAAUUCAGGAUACUCAUUUUCAGUAGUCAUAAUUUACGAGUAAAUCAUAAGUCUGUAUCCAUGUUGAUCUUCGGUAUGGCAAUAAGACUAAAGAGAAGUUUAAUUUCGAGAACUUUGUCUCAGUUUCUAGGUCUUACAUCCAAAUUAAAAUAUAGAAAGCACAGAUUGCUUCCAUCUCCUCUAAAUGAAUUUUAAGGUUUUUUUCCAUUGAUUUUGUUUUAUUGUUUUAUAUUUUCCAAGCAUAACUAAUCAUUGUGUGUGUUAAACUGUGUUCUAUCGACAGAAUAUUUUGUCAGUAUGCUGUGCUGAGUAUAUAAUAAAUGUUUGCAGUGUAUAAAAAUGCACAUUGGAUAAUUAUCAAAUCUUUUGAAACACCCAAUCUGAUAUCAUAAUUAAGAAAUGUUUCUAAGGUUUUUUUCCUGUAUUUGACGUUUUUUUCAGGAAUCAAACUAUUUAGCGGGCAUUUUCAGACAACAUCGAUUAUUUAAUUAUGCUAAAUAACAAGUAACUUGACAUUUUUGAAAAAGCAAAUCAUUGUCUACUUCAUUCUUCAAUAACUUUGUUUUUACAUUUUGAUUGCCACAACAACAAAACAAUCAACAAAAAAAAGCUCAUAAAAAAACAAACACCCAAAGACUACAACACGGUCAACGGUGAAUUCGAUAAAUGAAAGACCACCAGUUUGGAAAUCUUUUUUGAUUGAAAUACCGUGCACAUAUUUGCAGUUAUUUGUCAAAGAUAAUGUGAUUAUAUAAUUAAAAAAAUAUUUAAAUAUCCAAUUGUGCAAAAAACCUGUCUGUAUCUAAUGAUGAUAUAUGAUCGGAAAUAAAGAUACAUUCAGACCAAA
rnacentral:lncRNA from 1 species